UUCGGCGACGCGACCGAGACCGAGACCGAGUCUAGGGUUUUACUAGUACUCUUCAUCCGCUUGCCGGUCGCCGCCGGCUCGUCGACGGUUGCGGAGCGUUCUGCGGCGGAGCUUGGCGGGGCGAUUUGGGGGCGAGGUUUUGCGGGUUCUUCGACGGUUGCGGGCGUUGAGCGGCGGAGCUGUGGCCACAUGGAGAAAAGUCGGGGCAAGGUCAACAUUACCCCAGAUCUGAACAAAGGAAAAGAAACGGUGAUUCCAUUGCAUAUCACCCGAUUAGAUAUGAGGGAGGUGGAUCAAUCCAGUUAUGUGGCUAGACUAAAGCUCAAGAAGCCUUCUAAUAUGCCACCUUCCACUUUACCUCUGCACUUGCCAGUGAUAGGUUUGGAUGUGAAUAAACCAGAUAACCUACACUGUCUGAUGAUUAUGCAAAAUGUUAAGCACAGGAACGUUUUGCAAAUGGAGGCAGUGAAACAAAUAGUAAUUGGAGAGGCAAAAACACCAGUACUAGCUAUGUUUGUUGAAUCUUUUACUGGGCGUUUGCCAGCACUGCUUCGAAAAAUGAAACUGGGCGGCAUGCAAAUCAUUGAGGGGUGGGAGGAGCUUCGAGUAAAUGGGCUUUAUCAUGGAAAUAUCUGCUUGGAAAAUGUAUAUUAUUGCAAAGAUAAUGAAAAGAUCACCAUCAAACUUGCAAACUUCCAAAGCAAAGGUGCAAUGAGUAAAGAGGCAGCACAAUUGGAAGAUAUCAAUGCAAUUGGUAGGAUGCUUAAGUCUAUUUCCGCUCUGGCAAAGAUAGGCGUACCCCAUCAAGCAGAACGAUACAUGUUAGUUGAUCACCUGGCAAUGAAUUUGGAGUUUCUUGCAAACACCCAGCAAAUAGGAACAAUCAAAGACGUGAUUCUAGAUCAUGUUUUUUUCUGGUUUAAAGAAAGGAGGAAGAGAUUCUUCAUCUAUGAUAUCCCAAAGGCCUUAAAAGAUGCUGCAUUCUGUAACAAUGUCCGCAGAGGACAAACAUGUGUUCUGGAAUGGGACAAAAAGCCACAUCACGGACUUCUAGGCUCAAUGAACAGGUAUAGGAAAACAAAUUUGAAUUUGCCUGCUUAUGAUGGAAAUGACCCAAUUCAGAAUGUGAAAUUUGUGAGUGGAGCAUACACGCAUGAAGAGGAGGUGCAGGAUGAUCUUACAUUUAAUGGGAUGUCCUCAACUGUUGAUGAAGCUGUUCAAUCUGAGCAACCAAUGUUAUGCCUCAACCUAUACAAAUGCCUGUCACCCGAGUAAGAAGAUUGAAGGAACUCAGGUGCCGCUCAGGAACCUCGAGCUGGUGUUGGUUAACAAGUCCUGUGUUUAGUGGAAACGCCAGUAUUUUUGUUCAGUAAAAUAGAUGUUGGCAGUGGUCGCGAAAAGACAAUCAGAUGAUGUAAUCAGUACAUGCCUUCCAUGCUGGUCUCCCCAGCAUGAACACCUUUUCUGCGAAAAAGGAAACGAUAUCCUUUUUUUUGUUUUAUCCCUUUUUUGACUGCCGUGUACGGAGUAGUGUUACUGUUACACAUGCUCCAAAUCCAGUCCACAAUAUUAUACUAGCUGUCUUUUUAGGUUUUUCCUUUGGACGUCGUGUCCUAGUGAAGUGAAGGAAGAAAUGAGUAGUUAUGAGGUUUAUCGCUUCUUUUUUUUUUGAAAACCAAGCUUUUAUAUUAACUAGAAGCAUAGUACAUGCUUGAUAACACAGUUUGCUCCCUUAAAAUUGUUCUUGAGAGCUGAAGCAAAGCACAUUCGAUUGGGAUAAGCAAGGUGAGAAAUGUUUUGGC
rnacentral:lncRNA from 1 species